GGGCGUGCAAGAUGGAGGACAAAAAUAUUAUUUUGACGUUUCACAUUGUAAUUUCCAUGUUUUAUUCCACAAUGGCACAAGUGACAGAUAUUCCGUUGACUCCAUCGGUUGACUCUGAAGAAGAGGAAAUUGUUUCAAGUCAACAUAAAACCGAUAGCUUGACAAUUUUAAUGUUACUAGGAUUGUUAUUGUUAACAAUUUUGACUGUUUGGUUAUUUAAACACAGAAGAUUUAGAUUUGUGCACGAGACAGGAUUGUCUAUCAUUUACGGGUUAAUUGUUGGAGCAGUGAUACGUUACACUAGUCAUCCGAAUAUUCAAUCAACAGCUGAUGCGACACUGCUAGCAUAUAACAAAGCUGAUCCACCUGAGGCUGUCUUUGUUAACUUUUCACAUAAAGUUCUUAAUAAAAGUGAGGAAAAAAUUAUAAAGUAUACUCUCGACAAAAUUGUCACAGAAGUAGAGGAAGAGGCACCGCUUGAAAAAACAGUGACAUUUGAUCCUGAAAUAUUUUUCAAUGUUUUCUUGCCAGUGAUAAUUUUUGAAGCAGGAUACAGUAUGAAAAGGAGAUUUUUUUUCAAGAACUUUGGAGCAAUAGUUAUGUAUGCAUUCAUUGGUACAACAGUAUCCUGUAUGGCAGUUGGGGGUCUGAUGUUUGCCUUUACAAGAUUUUUGCCGAUGACCUUUACAGUCAAUGAUUGUUUCUUCUUUGGUGCAAUUAUCUCAGCCACAGACCCUGUGACAGUGUUGGCUAUAUUCAAUGAUUUAAAUGUAGAUGUUACCCUGUAUGCUCUGGUAUUUGGUGAAAGUGUUCUUAAUGAUGCUGUUGCUAUUGUUCUCUCUGGGUCGGUGAUAGCAUUUCAGGAAAGUUCUGUGGAAGCUUACGGUAAAGAGAAAUCGGAAGGCUUCAGUGUUCAUGCAUUUUUCAAAGCUCUCGGAAACUUUGCGGGUAUAUUUGGCGGAGCAUUUCUGAUUGGCUCUGUGAUUGGAAUGGCAACAGCAUUACUUACAAAAUACACAAAAAUCAGAGAAUUUCCACUUCUAGAAACAGCACUGUUUUUUCUGAUGUCAUAUACAUCAUUCCAAUCUGCCGAGGCCUUGGGUCUUACUGGUAUUGUUGCUGUGUUAUUCUGUGGUAUAUGUCAAGCUCAUUACACAUACAAUAAUCUAUCGGAGGAAUCCAAAUCCAGAACUAAACAAUUAUUUGAAUUGAUGAACUUUCUGGCAGAGAAUUUUGUGUUCCUAUACAUAGGAGUUUCAGUAUUUACAUUUGAAAAUGUGAAAUGGAAUGCAUGGUUCAUUUUAGCAGCUUUUGUGUCAAUCAUUAUAGGUCGAGCUAUAAAUAUAUAUCCACUCUCUAUUUUAUUGAAUCUUGGAAGGAGGAAUAAAAUAUCAGCAAACGUGAUGCAUAUGAUGAUGUUCUCAGGUUUACGGGGAGCUAUAGCCUAUGCAUUAGCAAUACGUAACACAGCAAGUGAAGCAAGACAACAUAUGCUGUCUGCUACCAUGGUGAUAGUCUUAGUUACUGUAAUGAUUUGUGGUGGAUUUGUUACACCUCUAUUACAGUUUUUAAAAAUCAGAGUGGGUGUGGAGGAAGAUGAAAAUGCUCAUACAGCAAAUGUAAGAACUGCAAUGUCACGACAGAGGCAGUAUAGCACAAUGGAGGUUCCUCGGGGUAAUGCACGGUCUCCACCUGAGCAGCCUUCAUCGUAUGAGCUAGAAAUACCUCCUGGACAACAAGUAGAACCAUUGAUACAACAGCUUCAAAGUCAGGCAGAGCAAGAUAUACAAACAAGAUCCUUUGGAAAGGCAUAUUUAGUUGCAAAAUGGUAUAAAUUUGAUAGAAGAUUUUUAAAACCAUUAUUAACCAACAGCAGACCAAACUUGAUGGAAACAUGCCCAGGCUGCUGUUUACCAUUGGCCAAAAUGUUGACCACACAAGAACAGCUGAUGGAAAGUGAUCUAAACCACGACCAAGAUUCUGAUACAGAUAUGAUAAUAGACCACAGGGAAUUGUCUAUAGGAGAGGACAGCCAGAUGAGCGCUAGUCCUUCAAUCAACUCCACACAUGAUAAAGAACAUACUGAGCAUGUUGAAGAAGAGAUUGAUUUAGGUGAUAACCACUUUGACUCCAUAAGUGAUGAUUUACCUUUAACCCCAUGAUCUUGACCUGAGCAUGAUCUUCAACCUUCUAAGGUAGAACUCCAUGCUGUAUAAGUUCCCUAAAUAUAGAGAAGAUCUGAGCGGGGAUCUUGGUCUCGGAGAGCACUCUGACCAACCCGUGAGAGUACAGGUUAACUUGGGGACACCGUCUGGAGAUCAUGUGUGAGUUCUCAG
rnacentral:misc_RNA from 1 species